UACGAAGGGUGCAAGCGUUACUCGGAAUUACUGGGCGUAAAGCGUGCGUAGGUGGUUUGUUAAGUCUGUUGUGAAAGCCCCGGGCUCAACCUGGGAAUGGCAAUGGAUACUGGCAGGCUAGAGUGCGGUAGAGGAUGGCGGAAUUCCCGGUGUAGCAGUGAAAUGCGUAGAUAUGCGGAGGAACACCGAUGGCGAAGGCAAUCCCCUGGACCUGUACUGACGCUCAUGCACGAAAGCGUGGGGAGCAAACAGG
rnacentral:rRNA from 1 species